rnacentral:rRNA from 1 species
GACGAACGCUGGCGGCGUGCUUAACACAUGCCAGUCGAACGGAAAGGCCCUGCUCUUGUGGGGUGCUCGAGUGGCGAACGGGGGAGUAACACGUGAGUAACCUGCCCUUGACUUUGGGAUAACUUCAGGAAACAGGGGCUAUUACCGGAUAGGAGCUCCUGCUGCAUGGUGGGGGUUGGAAAGAGUCGGCGGUUGGGGAUGGACUCGCGGCUUAUCAGCUGGUUGGGGGGGUAGUGGCUUACCAAGGUUUUGACGGGUAGCCGGCCUGAGAGGGUGACCGGCCACCUUGGGACUGAGAUACGGCCCAGACUCCUACGGGAGGCAGCAGUGGGGAAUAUUGCACAAUGGGCGGAAGCCUGAUGCAGCAACGCCGCGUGCGGGAUGACGGCCUUCGGGUUGUAAACCGCUUUCGCCUGUGACGAAGCGUGAGUGACGGUAAUGGGUAAAGAAGCACCGGCUAACUACGUG